rnacentral:tRNA from 1 species
UCCCUGGUGGUCUAGUGGUUAGAACUCGGUGCUUCCACUGCUAUGGCCUGGGUUCAAUCCCUGGUUGGGGAG